AGGUUGAGCACGUAGAAGAAGAAUAAACCUUCCUGUUAGAUGCCAACAGGAGCUCAACGUGUGUCUCGUGUUUUCUGCAUCACAGCUGAGAGGACAAAACAAACAUCCACCAUCCAAGGCUGCUGGCUGGACGGAUUCCAGGUGCACUUCGUCCAGAUUGCCUCCUUUUCCUGCGGCAUCCGAAUGCAUCAUCGGUCACUGAGACGUCCUCCUCCACCUCCCCAGGCUGGAUGAAGACGACUGAAGGAGUUAAUUUCACUCUGGAGGUGAAGAAAUUUGGGCUUUUUGCAGCUCAGCUGGAGGAUAAAAUGAUUACAGAAAUUUCAUCAUAAAAAUCCUUGAGGUGUUUUGAUAAUCGUUUAGAUUCCUUUCUGCCUCCUUUCAGAACUCAUGAACUCAGGGAAAGUUUUUACUGAUGUAACAAUAAACCCAACAGCUCUGGUCUGGAUCACUUUAGAUCCUGAUUCUGGUUCUGAUCCAGUUUUCCUCAGACUUUCAGCGCUGAACGUCUGCAGCUCCGUCCCACAGCGUUCCCAUCAUGCACUUCUUCAGUCGAUCCCUCAGCAGGACCUCCGUUAGGACUGGGUUGAUGAAGGUUCGCCUCCUCUUCCUCGCUCCAGGAAUCCGACCCGCUGCCAACAGAACAGUAAAGCAGCUCGGUUCUGUUUACGCUCCGAACAGAACCGUAGAAGGUCCAUGAAGUCGCUGGCUCUGGUCGGUGACGUCACUGCAGCUGCUGCUGCCUUCAUUCUUCACUGUAAACCCAGGAGGGUCGGUGGGACCGUCCAGGUUCUGGUCGGGUUCUCACAUCCCGGUCCAGUUUUCAUAAAGGAACCCCGACCUCCAGGUCUUUUUCAUCUGGUUAUUGUUUCCUCAGUUUGUGUCGGUCAUAGAUCUAUGUUUCUAGAUGUUCUGCUUUGUGCUUUUCUGUUUCAAACUGUUCAGAUUUUUUAUCAUCGUCUCUAAUAUUGAUCCAGUUACUAACUUUUAACAUUUACAGUUAGUUAAAGUUCAUAACGUUACAGAGUCUCUGCAGUUAAAUGACUUUUCUAAUGAUUCUGACUUUUUUCUGAGCGUGCAGACUGACCCGGAUCCCGGGGGCCCCGGGGGCCGAACGGGGACAGUGAGGGAGAGCAGAGCUGUUUGUGUUCAGACGUAAUGGAAGAACUGAAGUCAUGCAGCUGAAUGGGCCUGAGUGGGAGGCCAGCUGGUUCUGAAUGGUCCAGUUCAGCCCAGCAGCUCCGUCUCAUUUCCAGCAGUAAACUGGAGCUUCUGACCGUUUCCUCUCUAAAACAUCAUCUGUUGUUUCCAGAGUAAAUCCCGUCUUUGUGAAUCAGACAGAAACGAGGACAUGAAGUGUGUCAGCCAUUUGGACCGGCGCCAUCUGUUGGAUAACGGCAGCGUUUCCAGCUCCUCAUUCUUCAUCCUGCUGCAGUCGGAGUUUCCUCCGUCAUCCCAACGUUUCCCUGCACAGAGCUGGAAGCUUCUGAAACUUCAACACGUCCAAACGCUGCAGAGGAGCAACUUUGUUCCUCUGCUGCACAUAUGUCAGAGUCAAGGCCCAUGUGGC